rnacentral:other from 1 species
GCUGCACUGCAACGUUGGUGACUGCCAAUAUAGUUUGUUGAUCUAUGCUUGAAUUAUUAGAGAGCUAACAGCUUGCGUGGCAGUAGACCGACCAUAGCUGAUACAGCCUAUAGCUGCUACAGCAUGGCAUUUCGGAAACUUAAAGCGUAGAGCGUCGGCACCCACCUGGAUUUUCCAGGUCAAAAACUGAGGUAAGACGGCGUUGCGGUGUCUAU